GACAGACGGUAGAAACUAUAGAGAAUAUUUACAUACAUUCCUGUCCUUGAUACCUCCUCCCCUGAUUUAAUAAUAUUGUGUUUCUUAAUCUCUUCGCCUAAAUAGUUUGAUGAUUUUGUUUCGUAUUACAACCCUUGCAUGCAUUGCGAUUAACAAGCUCACGAUAAGAUCUAUAUAUAGGCUUGAGCCUCAUGCAAAAUGAAAUUCAAAUAAAUUUCUAUUAGUUAGAUUAAA
rnacentral:lncRNA from 1 species